GCAGCAGCUAAUACAUUUGCCUGUAAAUGUUUUCGGUAAAUGUCACCCAAGAAGCUGUGUGCAGCCCUUAAAGAGAUCCUUCAAGGAGCUUCCAUAGGGGUCAAGUGCAGAACCACAGUUCUCUGAGAAUAAGCUCUUUUUCUACAGAUUUGAUACUGCGAUGACUCAACAUGACUACCGGGGUGCUUGACGUCAGAGUUAGGGAGCAAGGAAGGCCAAGAUGGACCGUGUACUGGGGCAAACGCGACGAGGCUCCGACGUGAUGUGUGCGCGCAGUUGCUCAUCCCCAGCUUUACCAGAACAUUCUGAAUUACGUUAACACACUGUCCCAGAGGUGGCGACAAGCAGAGGAUGACCUCAGCGGCUUGGCAGACCCAGAGGCAUCAGGGAGCAGAGACAGGAAGCGGAGUCUCGUGGGGCCAAGUGCCCCGCCUCGUGCGCCAUCCAAAAGCUGAGUCACUCCACCCAGAGGGUCAGCACGGGUGGGAAAGAGGGAGGCCAGGUGACUCUCGGGACCAGGGAAGCCCAUGAAGGAGAAGCACUGAAAAGGGCAGGCCGGGGACCAGGACCUGAGGCCCGGUUUCACACUGACCCAUUGAUGUGCCUGGUGCAUCUGUAGCCUCUGCGUCCUGGUGGUGACUCACAACGGAGCAGGGCGCCUGGGCAGACGCGUGGGCGCUCUGGGAAGACAUGCCUCGGGUGGAGCGUCGCCGGGCAGCGGAAGAGGCGGGCGUGUAGGCACGUCAGUGUGGCGACCGAAGAGAUCUGUGCUCCGGGGACGGGAAGGUGAGGGAACUCAGCAGAGACGAACACACCGGGAGCUCCCGUCGUGGAGCAGCAGAAACGAAUCCAACUAGGAACCACAAGG